rnacentral:lncRNA from 1 species
GUCUCUGUCUGUCUGUCUGUCUGUCUUCCUUCCUUCCUUCCUCCCUGCUUUUCUUCCUUCUUCCCUUCCUUCCUCCCUCUUUCUUUCACCUUUCUUUCUUUCUUUCUUUCUUUCUUUCUUUCUUUCUUUCUUUCUUUCUUUCUUUCUUUCUUUCUUUCUUUCUUUCUUUCUUUCUUUCUUUCUUUCCUUCUUUCCUUCUUUCUUUCUUUCUUUCCUUCUUUCUUUCUUUCCUUCUUUCCUUCCUUCCUUCCUUCCUUCCUUCCUUUUUCUCUUUCUUUCUUUCUUUCUUUCUUUCUUUUCUUUCUUUCUUUCUUUCUUUCUUCCUUUCUUUCUCUUUAUCAAGUGGGAAAGCAUCAUUUCUGAAGUUAAAUAACCUAGUCUUGAUUCUGUCUCUUCUGCU